rnacentral:rRNA from 1 species
AUGAACGCUAGCUACAGGCUUAACACAUGCAAGUCGAGGGGCAGCAUGGUCUUAGCUUGCUAAGGCCGAUGGCGACCGGCGCACGGGUGAGUAACACGUAUCCAACCUGCCGUCUACUCUUGGACAGCCUUCUGAAAGGAAGAUUAAUACAAGAUGGCAUCAUGAGUCCGCAUGUUCACAUGAUUAAAGGUAUUCCGGUAGACGAUGGGGAUGCGUUCCAUUAGAUAGUAGGCGGGGUAACGGCCCACCUAGUCUUCGAUGGAUAGGGGUUCUGAGAGGAAGGUCCCCCACAUUGGAACUGAGACACGGUCCAAACUCCUACGGGAGGCAGCAGUGAGGAAUAUUGGUCAAUGGGCGAGAGCCUGAACCAGCCAAGUAGCGUGAAGGAUGACUGCCCUAUGGGUUGUAAACUUCUUUUAUAAAGGAAUAAAGUCGGGUAUGGAUACCCGUUUGCAUGUACUUUAUGAAUAAGGAUCGGCUAACUCCGUGCCAGCAGCCGCGGUAAUACGGAGGAUCCGAGCGUUAUCCGGAUUUAUUGGGUUUAAAGGGAGCGUAGAUGGAUGUUUAAGUCAGUUGUGAAAGUUUGCGGCUCAACCGUAAAAUUGCAGUUGAUACUGGAUAUCUUGAGUGCAGUUGAGGCAGGCGGAAUUCGUGGUGUAGCGGUGAAAUGCUUAGAUAUCACGAAGAACUCCGAUUGCGAAGGCAGCCUGCUAAGCUGCAACUGACAUUGAGGCUCGAAAGUGUGGGUAUCAAACAGGAUUAGAUACCCUGGUAGUCCACACGGUAAACGAUGAAUACUCGCUGUUUGCGAUAUACAGCAAGCGGCCAAGCGAAAGCGUUAAGUAUUCCACCUGGGGAGUACGCCGGCAACGGUGAAACUCAAAGGAAUUGACGGGGGCCCGCACAAGCGGAGGAACAUGUGGUUUAAUUCGAUGAUACGCGAGGAACCUUACCCGGGCUUAAAUUGCAUUUGAAUAUAUUGGAAACAGUAUAGCCGUAAGGCAAAUGUGAAGGUGCUGCAUGGUUGUCGUCAGCUCGUGCCGUGAGGUGUCGGCUUAAGUGCCAUAACGAGCGCAACCCUUGUUGUCAGUUACUAACAGGUUCCGCUGAGGACUCUGACAAGACUGCCAUCGUAAGAUGUGAGGAAGGUGGGGAUGACGUCAAAUCAGCACGGCCCUUACGUCCGGGGCUACACACGUGUUACAAUGGGGGGUACAGAGGGCCGCUACCACGCGAGUGGAUGCCAAUCCCCAAAACCUCUCUCAGUUCGGACUGGAGUCUGCAACCCGACUCCACGAAGCUGGAUUCGCUAGUAAUCGCGCAUCAGCCACGGCGCGGUGAAUACGUUCCCGGGCCUUGUACACACCGCCCGUCAAGCCAUGGGAGCCGGGGGUACCUGAAGUGCGUAACCGCGAGGAGCGCCCUAGGGUAAAACUGGUGACUGGGGCU